rnacentral:rRNA from 1 species
UACGUAGGGUGCAAGCGUUGUCCGGAAUUAUUGGGCGUAAAGAGCUCGUAGGCGGUUUGUCACGUCGGAUGUGAAACCCCGGGGCUCAACCCCGGGCCUGCAUUCGAUACGGGCAGACUAGAGUUCGGCAGGGGAGACUGGAAUUCCUGGUGUAGCGGUGAAAUGCGCAGAUAUCAGGAGGAACACCGGUGGCGAAGGCGGGUCUCUGGGCAGUAACUGACGCUGAGGAGCGAAAGCGUGGGGAGCGAACAGG